AUUACACAAGACUCGAACUUGAGAGAGUGUUGGAAUAGGGAAAGAAUUAGUGGACUUAAAAUGGUGCCUUGAGGCACUCCACAAGCAAGAUUGAGUAGACGAGUCAGAGGGCACGGCUGGAGAAUCUGAUGUCAUGACUCAGUGUAAUCCUGAGGAAAGGCUGUAGCUCUGCUUAUGAGAGUGAGUGGAGCAGAACAGAGCGGAUGGUUGAAUCCGGGGCUUCUCUGACGAUCGGCUGACUUGAGGCUGGCACUGCUGUCGACUGAAUACCCACCAAUAACCAGCUCCGGAUGUUUCUCUGCCUCGACGCAGAGGAUGGAUUACUGCGAGUAUCUUUUCAUCUCACUGUAAUCUUCUGCUCUCACAUUACCACCAGAGGAUCACCUGAAUUCAGACAUAUGGAGUUGGAUUAAAACCAUACAGUGCAAUGAG